rnacentral:tRNA from 1 species
UAAGAUCUAAUUAAACUAUAAUAUUGGCCUGUCAGACCAAAAUUACAUGCUAAACCCCUGUGUUCUUAA